AUGGUAAUGAGGGGCCCGGAUUCAAGAUAGACAGAUGAAGAAGUGUUUAGAAGAAAAUGGAAGAUGAGAAGAUGGAUCGAGAUAGAGAAUACCAGAAGAGUGGCUCUGAUACCACUUGAAGGACCCUAAGAUCGGAUUGCCCUCGACUGGAUUCGUUUGGAUAUGAACUCCGGAAAGGAGAACUGAUGGAACGUUGGGUCGCACAAGGGUUGCGGAUGUUCCCUUGAUAUUCCCGACUUCAAUGGCGCUUGAUAUGACUCACAAGUCCACCAAGGAAGAUCUCGAACUGGUUGCUUGAUAUGACUCACAAGACCAACUAGUUGAGAAGUGAAUUGCUCGGAUAUGACUCACCAAGACAAUCGAAAACAAGUUCUAAAGAGAACAGAGAGUUUAAACUCAGAAACUUAAUCCAAAA
rnacentral:lncRNA from 1 species